AGCUCCAAUAGCGUAUAUUAAUGUUGUUGCAGUUAAAAAGCUCGUAGUUGGAUUUGUGGUGUGCGGUGGGCCCCAGGCACUUGUUGUCUGAGUGGCUUGCCGCUGCCAUCCUUGGGUGGAACCUGUGUGGCAUUAGGUUGUCGUGCAGGGGAUGCCCAUCUUUUACUGUGAAAAAAUUAGAGUGUUCAAAGCAGGCUUACGCCGUUGAAUAUGUUAGCAUGGAAUAACGAGAUAGGACUUUGUUGCUAUUUUGUUGGUUUGCGCAACGAGGUAAUGAUUAAUAGGGACAGUUGGGGGUAUUCGUAUUCCAUUGUCAGAGGUGAAAUUCUUGGAUUUCUGGAAGACGAACUACUGCGAAAGCAUUUACCAAGGAUGUUUUCAUUAAUCAAGAACGAAAGUA
rnacentral:rRNA from 1 species